UUUAUCUGGUAUACAAGUUUAUGUAGUAUAGUUGCUUAAUGAUGACCACCACCACCGGGAAGCUUUUCCUUGAUCUUUUCCAUCAUCCCCUUCUUCUCGUGGCGCUCACCACCGUAGCCUCCAGCAUCAUAACCAGUGGUAGUUCCCAUUCCCAUCCCUUGAGAUUGACCAGAAGACUGAUCAUGAUGGCCUGGCAACUUUUCCUUAAUCUUAUCAGUUAUUCCCUUCUUCUUCCUCCUCCCACCUUGCCCAUCAUCCUCCUGUCAUUAUGUCGGACACUUGUUAAUACAAGACUAGGCCACAUUAAUUAAGACACGUACGCAUGUUAAUAUUAUAUAUUUGGUGUAACGUACCGAGCUAGAGCUAGAUCCGGAUCCAGAGCGGUGAAGCAUUCCUCCCAAGCCCCUCCCACCACCACUUUCCUCAUGGAGUUGCUGUUGGCCGUGGUGCCUUCCACCUGCGCCUGCUCCCAAGGCUCCAGUUCCUGUCCCGUAUCCUUCGCCACCUGUCCCGUAAGUCCCUGUUAAGUAUGAAGACGCGAUCUACUGAAUAUACUCUUUAUUAUAAACGUGAUACGAGCUACAACAAGGGAGACACUCUCAUAACGAGUACUCCUCUACUCUCAUGUCGAGUAGCUACUUAGCUCAUACGCUAAAGUACAAUAUUGUAAUUCUCGAUAACCCCAAAUGACUUAGUACGUUCCUAUUUAUAUCAAUCCCGUGUAACGGCUUUUCCCUCCUUCAAUCUGUAACAACCUCCACGUCAUCAUCCCCUGCUUGACUCUUCUUCUCUUCUCCUUUCUUCUUCCAUCUCCUCCUCUCAUAUGUAUAUUUGUACUUAUCAAUCAUACUAUCAACCUUAAACCAGGAGUCACCGCCAUAUCUGUACGACCCUACCGUUAUCCGCAUGCCACGAAGGUUGUGAUGGAGAAGAUGGUAACAGAGAUGCUGGAAGCGGGUAUUAUCAGAGUCAGUAUUAGUCCAUUUUCAAGCCCAGUGUUACUGGUUAAGAAAAAGGAUGGGUCUUGGCGGUUUUGCAUUGAUUACAGAGCAUUGAAUCAGGUGACAAUUCCGGAUAGAUUUCCUAUUCCGGUUAUUGAUCAACUACUAGAUGAGUUACAUGGAGCAUCGGUCUUCUCUAAAUUGGAUCUUCGCGCGGGUUAUCAUCAAAUCCGGAUGAAAGAAGAAGACAUAGCGAAGACAGCAUUUAGAACGGUUGAAGGUCAUUAUGAGUUCCUGGUAAUGCCCUUUGGACUUACAAAUGCACCUGCGACAUUUCAGGCUCUCAUGAACUCAAUUUUUAAGAAGUUUCUACGCAAGUUCAUCCUUGUUUUCUUUGAUGACGUGCUGGUCUAUAGCAGAAGUAUGGAGGAGCACGUAGAACAUUUGAAAGUGGUGUUGCAAAUAUUGGCUGAACAGAGGUUGCUUGCGAACAAGAAGAAAUGUUCGUUUGGAGUACAGCAGGUGGAUUAUUUGGGGCACAUCAUAUCGAAAGAAGGGGUCGCCACUGAUUCAGCGAAAACAAGCACAAUGAGGGAGUGGCCGACACCACGAUCUGUCAAACAACUGCGGGGGUUUCUUGGUCUCACUGGAUAUUAUAGAAACUAUGUGAAGAGUUAUGGCACUAUUGCUCGACCUUUGACGGAAUUAUUAAAGAAGGAUGGGUUUGAGUGGUCUACAACAGCACAAGGGGCUUUUGACAGGCUGAAACAUGCGAUGAUCACUACACCGGUGCUAGCGUUACCAGACUUCGACAAAAAAUUUGUGGUUGAAACAGAUGCAUCAGGGUUUGGCGUGGGCGCAGUUUUAAUGCAGGAUCGUCGACCAAUAGCGUACUUCAGUCAUGGUUUUACAGCUCGCGAACGAUUGAAACCAGCUUACGAGAGAGAACUCAUGGCUGUGGUAUUGGCAGUGUUGAAAUGGAAGCAUUACCUGAUUGGACGUCAUUUUGUGGUUCAUACAGACCAACGAAGUCUUAAGUAUUUGUUGGAGCAGAAGGAGGUCAAUAUGGAAUAUCAGAAAUGGUUAACAAAGUUACUUGGUUUCGACUUUGAGAUAUGUUACAAACCGGGCAGUCAAAACAAAACAGCAGAUGGUCUUUCAAGAAUUGAGAAUUUGGAAACUCAGGAGUUAAGUUCUCUGCUAUUGUCCUUGACAGUUCCGGGCGUGAUUCAGUUACAAGAUUUAUAUGCUGAGAUUGAUGGGGAUGAAGCGUUAAAGCGUUUACAGAUGUUAGUAGCAGAGGGAAAAAUGAUGAACAAACAUUACAAGAUUCUGAAUAACAGAUUGUGGUAUAAGAAGCGGCUCGUCAUUCCAAAGCAAUCACGGUUUAUUCCUUUGAUCAUUUCGGAAUGUCAUGACAGCCAGCUUGGGGGUCAUUCUGGAGUAUUGAAAACAGUCAAGAGAGUUCAAUCUAUGUUUCAUUGGGAGGGGUUGUUUAAACGGGUUCAACAGUAUGUUCAAGAGUGUAGUGUUUGUCAAACACACAAAUAUUCUACUCUUUCUCCUGCGGGUCUUCUGCAGCCACUUCCGAUCCCUCAGCAGAUUUGGGAGGAUAUUUCAAUGGAUUUUGUGGAAGGAUUGCCAACUUCUCAAGGUCAUAAUGUCAUCAUGGUAGUAGUGGACAGAUUGAGUAAGUAUGGACAUUUUGUGGGUCUCAAGCAUCCUUUUACAGCGGCAGACGUGGCUUCUAAAUUCAUGUUGGAGAUUGUCAAGCAUCACGGCUUUCCUAAGACAAUAGUCUCAGAUCGAGACCGGAUUUUUCUUAGUACCUUUUGGAAAGACUUGUUUCGAUUAUCGGGUACAAAGUUGAAGUAUAGUACGGCAUUUCAUCCGCAGACGGACGGUCAGACUGAGGUUCUAAACCGUUGUGUGGAGACAUACCUUCGUUGCUUCGCUUCUGGUCAUCCAAAGACUUGGUUUAAGUAUCUGUCAUGGACAGAACUCUGGUAUAAUACUUCGUUCCAUACAUCGCUUAAGGCUACUCCAUUUCAGGUAGUUUAUGGUAGGGAACCACCACCUCUCAUUCGUUUCGAAGAAGGGUCGACAUCUAAUUUUGAUUUGGAGGUGGCUCUUAAAGAAAGAGAUGCGAUGUUAGUACAAGUAAAGCAUCAUCUGGUUCGGGCUCAACAGUUGAUGAAAGUGCAGGCUGAUAAGCACCGCCGUGAUGUUGUUUUUGCAGUCGGUGAUUUGGUUUAUCUAAAGCUUAAACCUUUCCGUCAGCACACCGUGGUUCGACGAUAUUGUCAGAAGUUGGCAGCAAAGUUCUUUGGUCCGUAUCAGAUUUUGGAAAGGAUUGGCAAGGUUGCGUAUCGUCUUAAGCUGCCAGCAGAAUCGAAGAUCCAUCCGGUAUUUCACAUUUCGCAAUUGAAAGCUGCUUUGGGUCAUGAUCAGGUGUUGCAGCAGCUUCCACCUUCGUAUACGGAUCUGGAAAAUCUUUUGUGGGAACCUGAAGAGAUAUUAGCGUCACGUUGUAACGAGGGGAAUGAGGUGGAGUUGUUAGUGCGUUGGAAAAACCGUGAGGAGCACGAUAAUUCUUGGAUGAUGUUACAGGAGUUUCAAGCAUCUUUUCCAACUUACAAGCUUGAGGGCAAGCUUGCUCUCAAUGGGGGGAGUAUUGAUAAGUACAAAUAUACAUAUGAGAGGAGGAGAUGGAAGAAGAAAGGAGAAGAGAAGAAGAGUCAAGCAGGGGAUGAUGACGUGGAGGCUGUUACAGAUUGAAGGAGGGAAAAGCCGUUACACGGGAUUGAUAUAAAUAGGAACGUACUAAGUCAUUUGGGGUUAUCGAGAAUUACAAUAUUGUACUUUAGCGUAUGAGCUAAGUAGCUACUCGACAUGAGAGUAGAGGAGUACUCGUUAUGAGAGUGUCUCCCUUGUUGUAGCUCGUAUCACGUUUAUAAUAAAGAGUAUAUUCAGUAGAUCGCGUCUUCAUACUUAACAGGGACUUACGGGACAGGUGGCGAAGGAUACGGGACAGGAACUGGAGCCUUGGGAGCAGGCGCAGGUGGAAGGCACCACGGCCAACAGCAACUCCAUGAGGAAAGUGGUGGUGGGAGGGGCUUGGGAGGAAUGCUUCACCGCUCUGGAUCCGGAUCUAGCUCUAGCUCGGUACGUUACACCAAAUAUAUAAUAUUAACAUGCGUACGUGUCUUAAUUAAUGUGGCCUAGUCUUG
rnacentral:lncRNA from 1 species